ACUGGGGUGAAGUUGUUAGAAUCGGUGGACAAAGUGGUUACACUGGAUAAUAAACUAAAAGAUAAAACCGAGUAUACUAAUUUGCUUGAUAGUUUAAAAAAGAUUGGUGGUGGAAAGCCAAGAGAACAUGUUUUUUAGAUCAUGUAAAGGUUAUUUUCGAAUCAGUUACAGUCCAAAUUAAAUCGAAAAGGAAAUGGGGAAAAGAUAAGCUUAGAAAGUCUAGUAAAUAUAUGGAGUGUUUUACGAGAUAUCGGCGACGUGGAAGAAAAUGUUGACAAC
rnacentral:lncRNA from 1 species